rnacentral:lncRNA from 1 species
GACGAAAUAUUCUUCUUCGCUUUUACGACGAAAUUAUUUCCUCGCUACGUUACGACGAAUUAGCGAGGAUAUAUGCGUUACGACAAACGUAUAACGACGAAACGGGUUUCCUCGCUAAUUCCUCGUAACACUGCUUUUACGACGAAAUCACGAGGAAAACUGCCCUCGUAAAACUUGUGUUUUCUUGUAGUGUUACAUUAAAAUAAGGCAAGCAUAUCACUUGUGAAUGGCGG